AAUCCAUGUUGAGGACAUUUCCACGGGAGCUCGUUGAACCUAUCCUAUGUCUCAAAUAGAGACUCCAAUACCAUUUACAUAAAAGAGGAUAUUUCAUUCCUAAGUUU